CAAAUUUCUGCCCCAUCAACUUUCGAUGGUAGGAUAGUGGCCUACCAUGGUUGUUGACGGGUAACGGGGAAUUAGGGUUCUAUUCCGGAGAGGGAGCCUGAGAAACGGUACCACAUCCAAGGAAGGCAGCAGGCGCGGCAAAAAUUACCCAAUCCCAAUACGGGGAGGUAGUGACAAUAAAUACUGAUACAGGGCUCUUUUAGGGUCUGGUAAUUGGGAAUGAGAACAAUUUAAAUCCCUUAACGAGGAACAAUUGGAGGGCAAGUCUGGUGCCAGCAGCCCGGGUAAUUCCAGCUCCAAUAGCGUAUAUCAAAGUUGUAGCAGUUAAAAAGCUCGUAGUUGAACUUAGGGUCUGGCUGAUCUGUCCUCCUAAUCGAGCGCACGGAUUCGGUCGGACCUUUCCUUCUGGGGGAACCCUAUGCCCUUCACUUGGGCGUAGUGGGGAACCAGGACUUUUACCUUGACAAAAUUUAGAGUGUUCAAAGCAGGGCUUUU
rnacentral:rRNA from 1 species